AGAAUCAACGCUGGCGGCGUGCCUAACACAUGCAAGUCGAACGAGAAAGUGGAGCAAUCCAUGAGUAAAGUGGCGACCGGGUGAGUAACACGUGACUAACCUACCUUCGAGUGGGGGAUAACAUCGGGAAACCGAUGCUAAUACCGCAUAACAUCGCAAGAUCAAAGCAGUAAUGCGCUUGAAGAGGGGGUCGCGGCUGAUUAGCUAGUUGGCGGGGUAACGCCCACAAGGCGAAGAUCGGUAGCCGGCCUGAGAGGGCGCACGGCCACACUGGAACUGAAACACGGUCCAGACUCCUACGGGAGGCAGCAGUGGGGAAUUUUGCGCAAUGGGGGAAACCCUGACGCAGCAACGCCGCGUGGAGGAUGAAGCCCCUUGGGGCGUAAACUCCUUCGACCAAGACGAUAAUGACGGUACUGGUGGAAGAAGCACCGGCUAACUCUGCGCCAGCAGCCGC
rnacentral:rRNA from 1 species